UGAUGACGAGACGCUAAGGCGUUGAAGCAGUGUAUGUCAGACUUCCAAGAAAAGCUCGCAAUGUCACAAAUAAAAAGUGCCUGUACCAUAACCGACACAGGUGGGUAGGUAGAGUAUACUAAGGGGCGCGAGAUAACUCUCUCUAAGGAACUCGGCAAAAUGACUCCGUAACUUCGGGAGAAGGAGUGCCUUAUUUAUAAGGUUGCAAUAACAAGAUCCAAGCAACUGUUUAUCAAAAACACAGGUCUCCGCUAAGUCGUAAGACGAUGUAUGGGGGCUGACGCCCGCCCAGUGCCAGAAGGUUAAAGAAGUUGGUUAGUGUAUGCGAAGCUGAUGACUGAAGCCCUGGUGAACGGCGGCCGUAACGAUAACGGUCCUAAGGUAGCGAAAUUCCUUGUCGGGUAAGUUCCGACCCGCACGAAAGGCGUAAUGAUUUGGAUACUGUCUCGGAGAGAGGCUCGGUGAAAUAGACUUGUCUGUGAAGAUGCGGACUACCUGCACCAGGACAGAAAGACCCUAUGAAGCUUUACUGUAACUUGAAAUUGGAAUUGGACUUUGCUUGCGCAGUAUAGGUGGGAAGCGUUGAGAAUAUUCUUGCGGGAGUAUUGGAGCUAUCAGUGAGAUACCACUCUUGUAAUGUUAGAUUUCUAACUUUGAACAAUAAUCUGGUCAAAGAACAGUUUCAGGUGGGCAGUUUGACUGGGGCGGUCGCCUCCCAAAUGGUAACGGAGGCGUACAAAGGUUUCCUCUGAACGGAUAGAAAUCGUAUCUAGAGUGUAAAGGCAUAAGGAAGCUUGACUGUGAGACCUACAAGUCGAGCAGGGACGAAAGUCGGUCUUAGUGAUCUGACGGUACUGAGUGGAAAGGCCGUCACUCAACGGAUAAAAGUUACUCUAGGAUAACAGGCUGAUCUCCCCCAAGAGUUCACAUCGACGGGGAGGUUUGGCACCUCGAUGUCGGCUCAUCGCAUCCUGGGGCGGUAGUACGUCCCAAGGGUUGGGCUGUUCGCCCAUGAAAGCGGUACGCGAGCUGGGUUCAGAACGUCGUGAGACAGUUCGGUCCAUAUCCGGUGUAGGCGCUAGAAUAUUGAGAGGAGCCUUCUUUAGUACGAGAGGACCGAGAAGGACACACCGCUGGUGUACCAGUUAUCGUGCCAACGGUAAACGCUGGGUAGCUAUGUGUGGAGUGGAUAACCGCUGAAAGCAUCUAAGUGGGAAGCCCACCUCGAGAUGAG
rnacentral:rRNA from 1 species